rnacentral:misc_RNA from 1 species
GCAAACUUGGUCAUUUAGAGGAAGUAAAAGUCGUAACAAGGUUUCCGUAGGUGAACCUGCGGAAGGAUCAUUACCGUGACGCGGCUCGGGGCCACCCCCCGAGCACGCCGACCCCUUGUGUACGCCCUGGUUGCUUCGGCGGGCCGUCCGCCCCGCGGCCGCCGGCCUCUUCGGCCGGUGCGCGCCCGCCGGAAGACCGUCAAACGCUACCGUCUGGUGACGUCUGAGCUAUGAGAAAAUCAGCAAAACUUUCAACAACGGAUCUCUUGGUUCCGGCAUCGAUGAAGAACGCAGC